CUCAAAAUAUUGUCAUGGAAUCCAAUUGUUGUCGGAAUUGGAUUUAAAAACGACAAAAAAAUUACUUUGGUGUCAUGAAAUCCAAUGUUAUCGGUUUUAUGUUCGAAUCGGAAUUAGUGUCGAUUUUAGGUGUCACAGAUACCAAUAAUAUCGAUUUUGGUAUCGGAAACAAACCAAGCAGCUAACGGCUGUUGGAUUUCAUUUGUUUAUUAGUUUUCCUUACUUCCAGUUGGAUAUUUUAUAAAAAUAGCCGGGAUAGAGUGCAUCGACGGCUCGAAUUUUCAUGUCACCAUCACACAUCUAAAUAAAAAUGUACAUGCAUAUAUAUAAAUCAAGGCAAUGUACGAGUAAAAUGAAGAUUCAUGAUUACUUACAAUCAGGGCAUUCAUACUGAAUUAUUUUCGAUUAUAAAAUAAAUGUUCGUCAAUACUGGG
rnacentral:lncRNA from 1 species